rnacentral:rRNA from 1 species
AACGAACGCUGGCGGCAUGCCUAACACAUGCGAGUCGAACGAGACCUUCGGGUCUAGUGGCGCACGGGUGGGUAACGCGUGGGAACCUGCCCUUAGGUUCGGAAUAACUCCCCGAAAGGGGUGCUAAUACCGGAUAAUGUCUUCGGGCCAAAGAUUUAUCGCCUGUGGAUGGGCCCGCGUUGGAUUAGCUAGUUGGUAGGGUAAAAGCCUACCAAGGCGACGAUCCAUAGCUGGUCUGAGAGGAGGAUCAGCCACACUGGGACUGAGACACGGCCCAGACUGCUACGGGAGGCAGCAGUGGGGAAUAUUGGACAAUGGGCGAAAGGCUGAUCCAGCAAGGCCGCGUGAGUGAUGAAGGGCUUAGGGUUGUAAAGCUCUUUUACCCGGGAUGAUAAUGACAGUACCGGGAGAAUAAGCUCCGGCUAACUCCGUG